ACAAUAUCCUUUUCCUUCUGCAGAUAAGCUCAGAGUUGAUCUCAUGAAUAUUUCUGAGUACUCUUAGUUGAAAAAUACUUUCCCAAGACAAGGAGUACUUUACUGAACUUGCGAUUGAUGUUGUCUUGAGGCUUAAGGUGUACAAAUGGUUUAAUGAAAGUUGGUUAUCAUUUACAUUGAACUAUGAUAUCUUCAUCUAUAAAAUUUUACUCUUCAAAAAGGUAGCACCCACUUGGAAUAUAUUGAAAUUCUGAAGAUACAUGGAGAAUCUCUUAAGGAUUCAUUUUUGGACGAAGGGUACGUAUUUAUAGAAAAAAUACCACUAUAUUCUUUUGACCACACAGCACUGGGUUGCAUACAAAUUCUCUCACCUAGCACCAAAUUCUCCUUUCUGUCAAUCAGUCCAACCUAAGAGCCCAAUGCAAUCAAUUUCUGUUUUUAUCAACACCCUAACCAAUUAGAAUUAGCACUACAUUUUCUAAAAGAUCAAUUGCUCAUUUACUAGCUAAAUAAAGUAGGAAUUAGCACUACAUUUUCCUAUUUGUUUCCAUUGCUCUGAGCAUUU